GACGAACGCUGGCGGCGUGCUUAACACAUGCAAGUCGAACGGACCUUCGGGUUAGUGGCGAACGGGUGAGUAACACGUGGGUGAUCUGCCCUGCACUUUGGGAUAAGCCUGGGAAACUGGGUCUAAUACCGAAUAGGACCACGUGCUUUAUGGUGUGUGGUGGAAAGCUUUUGCGGUGUGGGAUGGGCCCGCGGCCUAUCAGCUUGUGGGUGGGGUAAUGGCCUACCAAGGCGACGACGGGUAGCCGGCCUGAGAGGGUGACCGGCCACACUGGGACUGAGAUACGGCCCAGACUCCUACGGGAGGCAGCAGUGGGGAAUAUUGCACAAUGGGCGCAAGCCUGAUGCAGCGACGCCGCGUGAGGGAUGACGGCCUUCGGGUUGUAAACCUCUUUCGCCAGGGACGAAGCGCAAGUGACGGUACCUGGAGAAGAAGGACCGGCCAACUACGUGCCAGCCGCCGCAGUAAUAC
rnacentral:rRNA from 1 species